AUCCCAGGGCUCCUGGACCUUUUCUGCAGCCACCUGCCAACCACCAUGCAGUAUGGCUUGGAGGAGGUCCUGAUGGAGGCGAUCUCCACCCUGGCCCAUCAGCACCUGGACACCAUUGUGAGCCACCUCCUCCACCAAUGGCUUCCGCUGGCCAGGUGGGUGCUGGUGUUCAGGCAGGGUUUUCGGUCCUUUGUGGAGGAGGCUUCCUUCCUCUCAGUCAUGCCAGCCCAUUCACUGGAGUGCUGAGCUUGCAUUUUGGGGAAGGCAGGGUGUUUGCUACACCGUGCAAUGAGACAAAACUCUGAUGAUGGAGGCCUUAACUGUAGGACGAAGGGUCAGGAGCGCUGGAGGGACUGAGUCUCCUUGAACCAUCUUGACUCUUGGGUUUGUCUUGUCUUUGGCUCUCAAAGAGACCCUAUUUGGGCAGAGAAAUCUUACCCCAAGCACACAGACCCUUGUCUCCAUCUUCUUCUGGAGGGCAGAGAACGAGCAGGGUUUGAAAACUCCUUGCCACAGUGUCUUAGGAUGUCGAGACAACUCCAACUGAUGAGUGCAAGGAGACGAGGAAGAGUUUUCCUGGUCCCUCAUUGAAGAUCUAGGCAACUCUGGCAAAGUCAUGGGUCGGAGGCAGGGGAGAUGCUGCCUGGGAGAUUCUAGUUCUCCUUUAAAAGUCAGUUCCCCAAGCACGGAGAAGGUGAGAACCAGAAGAGAAAAGGGGUCUCAGAUUGUCGGCUCUGUCCCACGUUGGUUUCUCACUGCCGGGAGUGACCAGCCCACCAGGGGCUCCUGGCAUCCCAUCUGCUGAAGGCAGAGUCUCGCUUCAGGCAGUCUCUGUAACUCUGGCCUUCUUUCCUUUAGUGGCACCAGCAGGAUCUGGAGGCACUUAGGUGGGGACCCAUCCCUAGCCUUGCUGAUCCUACCGAAGCUGCUGUCCUUCAUGACCCAGCUGUCCAUCCUGGGGACCAUCUCCUGCCCUGGCCGCGAAGAGCUUGAGGAGGAGGUGUGGGAAAAACACUUCAAGGCUACCUGUGCCAUGUAUGAAGUGCUCUUGGGGCUGCACAUGGAGGCGAUGGUGCAGAGCGUAUUUCCCCAGCUCCUGUACUGCCUCCCGGAGCAAGUGAAGUCCUGGGGCUCAUUUGGGGAUCCUGCGACUCGCCCAGAGGGCCUCCGCAUGUUGACCAGGUGCCUGCUGCAAACGGGCAUGCUCAAGGGUGUGCUCAUCCAGAGGGUCCUUCCCUGGAUGCAGUCAGAAUCACCAAAGCUCCGGCUCCUGGGAACCACGAUCUUGUGCUCAUCCAGAGGGUCCUUCCCUGGAUGCAGUCAGAAUCACCAAAGCUCCGGCUCCUGGGAACCACGAUCUUGGCAGAGGUAA
rnacentral:lncRNA from 1 species